rnacentral:rRNA from 1 species
AACGAACGCUGGCGGCAGGCUUAACACAUGCAAGUCGAACGCCCCGCAAGGGGAGUGGCCGACGGGUGAGUAACGCGUGGGAACAUACCCUUUUCUACGGAAUAGCUCUGGGAAACUGGAAUUAAUACCGUAUACGCCCUACGGGGGAAAGAUUUAUCGGGGAAGGAUUGGCCCGCGUUGGAUUAGCUAGUUGGUGGGGUAAAGGCCUACCAAGGCGACGAUCCAUAGCUGGUCUGAGAGGAUGAUCAGCCACAUUGGGACUGAGACACGGCCCAAACUCCUACGGGAGGCAGCAGUGGGGAAUAUUGGACAAUGGGCGCAAGCCUGAUCCAGCCAUGCCGCGUGAGUGAUGAAGGCCUUAGGGUUGUAAAGCUCUUUCAACGAUGAAGAUAAUGACGGUAGUCGGAGAAGAAGCCCCGGCUAACUUCGUG